UAAAAACUUUUAUUAGAA
rnacentral:tRNA from 1 species